UCUGCUCAUUGUUGAUUGAGAUAAAGAGCACAGAGGCACAAAUGAAGUUUAAGAAACAUAAUGACACUGAAGCACAUGAAAAAUACCUACAAGAAAGUCACUUGAAUGAAAAACCAUAUCUUGUAGAUAACUUCAAAAUAUUUGUGUCUGCUGUGUCUUACUUGGUCACUUCACAAAGUCAGAAGUCAAACCUCCAGUUACCAUGGAAUCAGCCUGACCUUGUACAAAGGACCAGAAAAUGCAUAGACAAUCCUGCUCACCUCUCUUCACUGAAACGUCGACCAACCAAAAUUUUACAUUUGUCUGGAGGAAGACAAGCUGCUAGCAAAGCUACACAGUAUGCAACCUGAUGCAAUUGCCACAACUUUCAUGGAAGAAGCCAUCCCUGUUAAAUGAAAACCUCUCUCUUGUGCUGAAUGGAAGUGAAAUAAUGGAUUACCUCAUCCUCUACACAGCGGAAGCCCAUCU